rnacentral:rRNA from 1 species
AGCGUGCGCAGGCGGUUAUGUAAGACAGAUGUGAAAUACCCCGGGCCUCAACCUGGGAACUGCAUUUGUGACUGCAUGGCUAGAGUACGGUAGAGGGGGAUGGAAUUCCGCGUGUAGCAGUGAAAUGCGUAGAUAUGCGGAGGAACACCGAUGGCGAAGGCAAUCCCCUGGACCUGUACUGACGCUCAUGCACGAAAGCGUGGGGAGCAAACAGGAUUAGAUACCCUUGU